rnacentral:rRNA from 1 species
AACGAACGCUGGCGGCGUGCCUAACACAUGCAAGUCGAACGAGAAAGGGGCUUCGGCCCUGAGUAAAGUGGCGCACGGGUGAGUAACACGUAGGUAACCUACCUCUAAGUUUAGGACAACCUGUCGAAAGAUGAGCUAAUACUGAAUGAGACCACAGUUUCUUCGGAAGCAGAGGUCAAAGGUAGCCUCUAUUUAUAAGCUAUCACUUAGAGAUGGGCCUGCGUACCAUUAGCAGUUGGUGAGGUAACGGCUCACCAAGGCAAAGAUGGUUAGCUGGUCUGAGAGGAUGAUCAGCCACACUGGAACUGAGACACGGUCCAGACUCCUACGGGAGGCAGCAGUGGGGAAUAUUGCGCAAUGGGCGAAAGCCUGACGCAGCAACG